rnacentral:rRNA from 1 species
GACGUAGGGUCCAAGCGUUGUCCGGAUUUACUGGGCGUAAAGAGCGCGUAGGCGGCCUAUUAAGUGUGAAGUGAAAUCUCCAGAGCUCAACUCGGAAAUUGCUUUGCAAACUGGCAGGCUCGAGGGAUGCAGAGGCAACUAGAAUUCCCGGUGUAGCGGUGACAUGCAUUGAUAUCGGGAGGAAUACCCAUGGCGAAGGCAGGUUGCUGGGCAUUACCUGACGCUGAGGCGCGAAAGCGUGGGUAGCAAACAGG